CUGAUUAGUAAAUGCUGUAUGCGAGGGGUAGAUAUGGGCCCAGCAGGUGGCGUACUCUUAUUAGUUUGACUCUAAAUAAUGGGUCCAGUUGCAGGUUUACCCAUAUUAGUGUAGGUGAGCGAAGGCAGGUGGGGCCCACAACAGGUGCACCCUUAUUACUGACGCAGCAGCGACCGUAUAUAAACCCGGGCUGGUACUGAAGUAGACGCAGACGGCCAGGUAUCCCAGCGCUCCUCUGUUCUUCAGCCCAGCUCCGUGUUCCUGCUCCAUGAUGAAGGUCCUGAUACCAGCAGUAGUCCUUCUUGCGGCGGCUGCCUUCGCUCUGCCGCAAACGAGGCCUCCGCCACCACGACCACCAACAGGAACCACUAAUUCGACCCUGCAAAGGGCUCCACCAACAGGAACCACUAACUCGACGCUGCCAAGGCCUCCACCAACAGGAACCACUAACUCGACGCUGUCAGGGCCUCCUCCACCACCACCACGAGGAUCUACUAACUCGACCCUGCCAAGGUUUCCACCAACAGGAACCACUAACUCGACGCUGCCAAGGCCUCCACCAACAGGAACCACUAACUCGACGCUGUCAGGGCCUCCACCACCACCACCACCAAGAUCUACUAACUCGACCAAACCAAAACCUCCCAGUGAUUAGUGGGACCAACAAUACAGCUCAAGGAUAACAUUAAUGGCGAUCCACAUGUAUACCUUGUUUGUUUUAUUAUCAAACACAGAUACACCCACGUUGGUCUACCUGUUACCCUAAUCUACACCAAGGGAAUUUCAGAAUUCAGAUCAAAAGCUAGCCAUGUUCAACUAACCUCUCAAUCUAAUAGCCUAUUCUAAAAAACUUCAAGUAGACUAUGAUCUUCUAGUACGGGAGAAUAAAUUAAUGAAUUAAAAGCACACUUCAUUCAUAGAGUUCACACCUGGAGUGCCACAGAUAACGAUAUCCAGCCUAAUAUGUUAUGCUUUACGUACAUAUAAGCAUGAAAUCUUAAGAAAUCACAAUCGUUAACGUGGUAAUAUGUGGUUCUUCUUGCAUGAUAGUGUAGUGAUAGUUGGAACAGCUAGUGCAAAUUGUAACAAUGUAAAUUGCAAUUUGUCUGUGAUUUACAAAAUUUUAUUAAAUUUAUUGAUGUAUUACUGUUCUCACGUUGUUCUUAUAUGCAAUCCAAGGUUAUCAUCAACUCCUUUGAAGGCAUACUCUUUGGUUAAUGGUUUUAUUUCCUUUUUUGUUUUAAACUUUCAAUAAAUAUCUGCAAGUAA